ACCCUCUGCCGAGGCCACGCUGUCCCCAAAGUGCCACCACGGGCCACCCGCAGCCCCCCGCGUCCCCCCCAGCGCCGUGUCCCUGCUCUGGGGGGCUCAGGGGACCGGCGGCUCCCCCCAGCAGUGUCCCCAAGUGUCCCCAACAGUGUCCCCAAGUGUCCCCAACAGUGUCCCCAAGUGUCCCCAAGUGUCCCCAAGUGUCCCCAGCAGUGUCCCCAAGUGUCCCCAAGUGUCCCCAGCAGUGUCCCCAAGUGUCCCCAAGUGUCCCCAAGUAUCCCCAAGUAUCCCCAAGUGUCCCCAAGUGUCCUCAAGUGUUCCCAAGUGUCCCCAAGUGUCCCCAGCAGUGUCCCCAAGUGUCCCCAAGUGUCCCCAAGCUCCAGCCCGGAGCGGGGGAUGCUCGGGAACGCUCUGAGCUCCCACUCGGGAGAUUUUGGGGCAGUUUGGGAUUUCUGGGUGUGAUGAUAAAACAGCCCCGAGCUCCCCGCCGGCCCGGGCUGCGGUUCUGCACUCCCAGCGCUCGGGGAGGGUCUCCAUCCCCCCGGAGCCCCUUCCCCAGAGCCCAGCACCCCCGGGCA